UCUUUGCUGCUGAGAGUAAUAAAGAAAGAGAUAUGCAUAAUACUCGCCUCCGUGUCUUUAAUAAAAUCAGGAUCAAAGGGAUAGUGUCUACACACACUACUUUUGCAUGCUAUUCCUACUCUAAUAAACAAUUGGAGGACUUACAUGCAUUUUGUGAGUACUGCUCAUUUUUUUUUGGUUAAAGAACUAACAAAAACGCAAUGUACUUGAGAAAAGCACUGUGACGCUUUUCAUGGAUAUUGUGGAGAAGCCACCUAAACGGAAAUCUCUCUCUAUUAUUCCAUUUUUUUUACACAUUCUGCAUUUUAAUCCUGCUCUGUCCCACCUUCCCCAGUCUACAAUUCUCCCGUUUUGCAGAUUAUUCAACUGGCAUGCAUGAAGUCACGGUUCCUCAUCUGUGCCUCCAAUCAUGCAGCGUUUCUCCAAUAACACAGUAAUACUUUUAUGAAGCACAGCAAACGUUUCUAGAAGUUGUAGUCCAGGCAACAACAUUUACAAAUAAAAAGCC